AACGAACGCUGGCGGCAUGCCUAACACAUGCAAGUCGAACGAGACCUUCGGGUCUAGUGGCGCACGGGUGCGUAACGCGUGGGAACCUGCCCUUAGGUUCGGAAUAACUCCCUGAAAGGGGUGCUAAUACCGGAUAAUGUCUUCGGACCAAAGAUUUAUCGCCUUUGGAUGGGCCCGCGUUGGAUUAGCUAGUUGGUAGGGUAAAAGCCUACCAAGGCGACGAUCCAUAGCUGGUCUGAGAGGAUGAUCAGCCACACUGGGACUGAGACACGGCCCAGACCCCUACGGGAGGCAGCAGUGGGGAAUAUUGGACAAUGGGCGAAAGCCUGAUCCAGCAAUGCCGCGUGAGUGAUGAAGGCCUUAGGGUUGUAAAGCUCUUUUACCCGGGAUGAUAAUGACAGUACCGGGAGAAUAAGCUCCGGCUAACUCCGUG
rnacentral:rRNA from 1 species